CACCUUGGCUCCUUGCGGAUGCCUUAGAAUCGUAGGAACGCGGGCCGAACGGGUAACGCCGGUUGUGAUGCACUCCUUAGGACGGUCGCGGAUACAAGUCAAGGGGCGGGCCUACUGGCUGCAGCUUGGCCCGACCCUUAGCUUGUUGGGAAUGGUGGACACGCUCCUUUGGAUGGCCGUGGGAAUCAAGACAAGGGGCGGGUCUACUGGUUGCAGCUUGGCCCGACCCUUGGCUUGAAGAGAAACAAUCACUCACAAGAAGAUAUGU
rnacentral:lncRNA from 1 species